rnacentral:rRNA from 1 species
AACGAACGCUGGCGGCAUGCCUAACACAUGCAAGUCGAACGAGACCUUCGGGUCUAGUGGCGCUCGGGUGCGUAACGCGUGGGAACCUGCCCUUAGGUUCGGAAUAACUCCCCGAAAGGGGUGCUAAUACCGGAUAAUGUCUUCGGACCAAAGAUUUAUCGCCUUUGGAUGGGCCCGCGUUGGAUUAGCUAGUUGGCAGGGUAAAAGCCUACCAAGGCGACGAUCCAUAGCUGGUCUGAGAGGAUGAUCAGCCACACUGGGACUGAGACACGGCCCAGACUCCUACGGGAGGCAGCAGUGGGGAAUAUUGGACAAUGGGCGAAAGCCUGAUCCAGCAAUGCCGCGUGAGUGAUGAAGGCCUUAGGGUUGUAAAGCUCUUUUACCCGGGAUGAUAAUGACAGUACCGGGAGAAUAAGCUCCGGCUAACUCCGUG